UACGGAGGGUGCGAGCGUUAAUCGGAAUAACUGGGCGUAAAGGGCACGCAGGCGGGCUUUUAAGUGAGGCGUGAAAUCCCCGGGCUUAACCUGGGAAUAGCAUUUCAGACUGGGAGUCUAGAGUACUUUAGGGAGGGGGAGAAUUCCACGUGUAGCGGUGAAAUGCGUAGAGAUGUGGAGGAAUACCGAAGGCGAAGGCAGCCCCUUGGGCCUGAACUGACGCUCAUGUGCGAAAGCGUGGGGAGCAAACAGG
rnacentral:rRNA from 1 species